GAUAAAUGCAUCUUGCAGGCGAGACCCUAUCAAUAUUGCCUCUGCUUUUCUCACUGUUUAUGGAGUAGUGCAAUAUUGCUUAUAGGGUCUUGACUUUAAGGCUAAUCUGCAAUAUC
rnacentral:pre_miRNA from 8 species